GACCAUCGAUUUAAAAGAGAAACAAAAUGAAGAAAUGAAUAUGAUGAAACAAAAUCAAGAGAUGAUGCAAUCAGAAUUGUUCCAAAUGAGACAAAUUAUGAGAAAAUAUGCUCCUAAUGAAUUGAUGUCUCAAAAUAUUAAUGACACCUCAAGUGAACAGCCAAACUGAUUUUAUAAGUUUUUAGUAUCCUUUAAAAGUGUUUUUAACUAUCGUGUUAAUAUUUAUCAGGUUCCAAACAGUAUUGUCCAUGAACGAGUAGCACAGACAACAAGGAUACCUAGUGAUAUUGGAAAUACACCAUUUUCUCACGGUACUACUCUUCUAUAUCGUUAACAGUACUAUCUAAGUUUUCCUUUGAUUUGUUUUUUAUUAUGUUUAUUCUAACAAUUCUAAUAAUCUAUUUCAACUAGUAUAUUUUAGUUUUUCCACUGGAUCCUAUUCUUGCAAGGGGUUAAGUUUGGAACUUAUUUAGGAAUAAUGGCUAUUUUUUUGUCUUUUGGGUGAUAAAAAAUACUAUGCAAAAUUUUUAGAAAUUUCGCCCUUUUUUAUAGCACUUGUUUUCUGUUCCGAAUCAACUUUGGAUGUAUCAACUAUAUCUAUUGGUGUUCCCCUGCUUUAUCAAUGUUGUUAGAACCUGAUUGCUGCCAAGAUUCUCCCACAUCCGUUGCAAUAAUAUGAAUAUUCCUUGUAGCUUCAAUUUAACUUAGUUUUUACCUAAAAUUUUUGAGUUUCAAUGACAUGAUCGAAACUCGAUCAAGAGCAGUAGCAAGUGUUGGUUUUAAAAUUGUUUCACACUCUUGAUUUUCAAGAGUUUGUCCAUCUUUUACAACAUGAUUAACUAAAGCCAAAGCUUUUUGAUCACCUAUUGUAGCUACUAGAUCUAAGUCCCAAUCUUGCAAUUUUUCUUGAACCUCUAUAGCGAUAAUUACUUUACCAAAGUUUCCUUCCUCUCCAUUAAAAACUGAAAAAAUUCCUGUUUUUUGGUAAUUUACACUUUAAAAUUAAUCACAAAGAGCAUUGUUGUAGAGACAUAGAAAGCCAACCACCGGCAGCUAGCUUUGAGUGUAUUAGUAGUGAACAAAAAGAUGGUCUCUAGGUAUGAUGUUAUAUCUAAAUUGUAUUCUAAUACUACAAGCAUUAUUCGACACAUUACUUUUUUGUUUUUUGACAUAUAUAUUUUAUUAUUUCAGGUCAUACAAUUUGAUAGCAUGUUCAAGAUUUCGAUAUGAUGAAGAAUUGCAAAAAUUAUUUGAAGAUAUUAUUCUACUAGACUGGUUAUAUUAGUUGAAACAACACAAGUUUAUUUUUUAAGUAACAAUAUUGAUGUUUUGGAUUAGUACUUUUAUUUAUUUAAAUUUAACUGAGAAAUUUUUCAUGAACUAAUAG
rnacentral:lncRNA from 1 species